GAUGAACGCUGGCGGCGUGCUUAACACAUGCAAGUCGAACGGAAAGGCUCCUGCUUGCAGGGGUACUCGAGUGGCGAACGGGUGAGUAACACGUGGGUGAUCUGCCCUGCACUUCGGGAUAAGCCUGGGAAACUGGGUCUAAUACCGGAUAGGACCACAUUUUGGAUGGUGUGGUGGAAAGUUUUUCGGUGUGGGUUGAGCUCGCGGCCUAUCAGCUUGUUGGUGGGGUAAUGGCCUACCAAGGCGUCGACGGGUAGCCGGCCUGAGAGGGUGUACGGCCACAUUGGGACUGUGAGACAGCCCAGAGUACUACGGGAGGCAGCAGGGGGGAAUAUUGGACAAUGGGCGGAAGCGUGAGGCAGCGAGGCCGCGGGGGGGAUGACGGCUUUCGGGUGGGAAGCACCUAUCGCUAAGGAAGAAGCGUUUUUGUGACGGUACCUGGAGAAGAAGCACCGGCUAACUACGUG
rnacentral:rRNA from 1 species